UACGUAGGGGGCAAGCGUUGUCCGGAUUUAUUGGGCGUAAAGAGCGUGUAGGCGGCCAAACAGGUCAGCUGUGAAAACUCGAGGCUCAACCUCGAGACGUCGGUUGAAACCGUUUGGCUAGAGUCCGGAAGAGGAGAGUGGAAUUCCCGGUGUAGCGGUGAAAUGCGCAGAUAUCGGGAAGAACACCCGUGGCGAAGGCGGCUCUCUGGGACGGUACUGACGCUGAGACGCGAAAGCUGGGGGAGCAAACGGG
rnacentral:rRNA from 1 species